GCUGGGCGUGGUGGCUCAUGCCUGUAAUCCCAGCACUUUAGGAGGCUGAGGUGGGUGGAUCACCUGAGGUCAGGAGUUCGAGACCAGCCUGGCCAACAUGGUGAAACCCCAACUCUA
ensembl:misc_RNA Metazoa_SRP Metazoan signal recognition particle RNA